CGAAGAUUCAGACGAGUUCGUUACUGGUCCAAGUUCAUAAAAUUCAGGGAGUAAUGGCGGCGAAGGCGGAGAACGACGACGAGUUCGUAACUCUCACCUGCACCAAUUUUGAUGCCUCAGAGCGGAACGAAAACUCGGACGCUGAUCAGAUCGUAAUUUCAAUGGCCGGUGUCGCUAGUUGGGACUUGCAAUUAAUUCUCAGUUACAAAGUCCUCAAAAUAAAAGCCAAUCCAAACAGGCAAAUGACCUCGUAUUCUCAAUCUUAACCUAAUUUAAUCAAACUAAACUACAUACUGAAUUGGUUUAUUGUGUGUUUCUAAUUGUCUCAUCCUUAUUUACAAAAUUCACAGGCUGAUUGAAAAAUCUUCUUAUUUUCGUGGUCUCCUACGUGGAAGCUUUAGGUAAUUGAAUUUCUAAUCAUUUAAAAAAUAUAAAAAUUCCACGUGUCUUCACAAACUUUUUGUAAAUUUUACUUUGUUUUGAACUAAUUAUAAAUUUUUUUCUGGUGUAUUUUUUCAGUGAAUCUACGAUGCAAUAUAUUUCCGUACAUUGGGAUACAGAGUCGUUUUUGAGUGUUUUAAGAUUCAUGUUUGGAUGCAAGGUGGAUAUUACGUCUGAUAAUUUUAAUCCUAUGUACGAGGUAACUUGCAUUUUAAAUUUUUUCAAUUAUUGUUGUUGUUGUUGGCUUUUUAUUUUUAUUUUUAUCUUUUUGAUGUUAAUUCAUGUAAAAAUUUUCUUUCCUGAAGUGAAAAUAGUAUGUAUUGUAUGUUAGCAUGGACCAGAGAAUGACAAUCUAUUAUUGGUAUAGGGCGAAAAGAAACAGUUUUGUAUUAUUACUGACCUAAGCUAUGUAAGUAGACAAGCAAGACAGUUCAGGUAAUCUACAGUUCAUAGAGGAAUUGCCAGUUUACUGGAUUAUGAAUUUGAAGGCUAGAAUUAAGAAUAUAUUGAUUGAUUCAGUUUCAUAAUUACAGUCAGGGCGAAGUGCACGAACACUACUGGUAGGGCAUUUGAAUUUUUUUCUUUUGAUUAAUGAAUUUGAAUGUGCACGCUGUGGCUUCAUUACUUUUGAGAAAUUAGUCUCUUCUUUCCUCUUUAUCAUUCUGUCAUUUUUUGGAUUUCUCAUGGCUUUGCUAUCUUCGUAUGAAAUUGUUCUUUGACGUCCUCUGCUGUGUAGUUGAUACUUCACGUCUCUUAACUAAUUGAUUGAUGGAUGAUGCUGUUUGUAAAAGUUAUUGAAAAGUGUGAUGUAUCCCAUCUCAAUAGCUGAAAACUGCUUUCGCAUGUACUCAGGCUGCUUUAUAUUUCGGAGUGGAAACUCUUCUCUUGAAAUGUCAUGUUUGGUUAAAUGAAGUAACAUCGCUCGAAGGACUUCGAUCACCAGAAUUCUGUUUGUAUGAUUUGGUUCACAUCUGGAAUUAUGGUUUAGAACAUGGCAAGUAUUUUUACUUGUUCUGGAGAUUUUAAAGAUCAUUAAUAAGCAGAAUAAUUAUUUGCUUUCCUUAUAUUCUUGGCAUAACAAUUAUGACUGCGUCUUAUAGAUGUAAGUGGAAUGUUUUGCAGCCAAUGAUUUUAUCCUACAAAAAUCUACAAGCUAUCUAGCAAGGAACUUUGUAAGUGCUUGGCUUUGACUCAGUUAUUUUUACUGACUAAAUUAUUCUGGAUUGAAGGAUGGCAUCUUUGUUUUAGCACGAUAAAUAGAAAUUUCUUAUAUUGCUAUGAAUGAGCUUAAUGUUGGGUAUAUUUGUACCUUGUGGAAGUUAAAUUAGUACUGCAUAGCACAUGGAAGACUGUUAAAUGGUUAAUAGUUUUUACCACCGGUAACUAUCACUCCCAUCGACAGCUGGAUCUCUAGGAAACUUUUGUAUUUGCUAGCAACUGGAGACAAGGGAAUUAAAUGGAUCCUCGACAUGAAGGCUUGAUUCUCAUCUAUGGUGCACCGACACGGACACGUGUGCCGAUACGAUACGUUUCGGAUACGUCGACUCGUAAUUUUUCAAAAAAGUACCGACACGACAUGUCGUCGACACGUUCAUUAAAUUCUAUAAAAUUCUUCAUUUAUAUAGUUUAAAUCUAGUUUUAUACUUAUUAUUGAUUUUUUUUUUUUGUUGAAAUCUUUUAAAUAUUAGUAUUUAUUUGUUAUUUAUUAAUAACUUUGAGUUAAAAAUAUAUAAUAACUACAGUAAGAAAGAAAAAUAAUUAUUGUAGAGUGUCCGAAGAGUGUCGGUAUCCACACGUGUCUAACACGUGUCGGACACAGACACGCUACCCUAGUUAGAGUGUCCUUGCUACAUAGAUUCUCAUAGUUGUGUUUCUUAAAAAUAUUGACAUGGAUAAAAAAGCACAAGAGAAAUGUAGAACUGUUUUAUCCCUGUAGGUUUAUUGGAGAUAAAAUGAAAGUAAACACAAGAAAAGAAAAUUUCUCAGAUGAAAAUCUAUAACAAACAUAACUGGAUAAUGACUUGUAUUUACACUUUAAACCCUAGUCGCAGACACUACUAGCCCCUACCGUGGAAUAUAAUAAAGUGAUGUAUUUAUCAACAUUCUAAUUCAAUCUUUCACUCAAAAUUUAUGGUAAUGAUACUAUAAAAGGAGUGUCAGUAAUGAACCUAAGAGAUGAAAAUCAUGCUGUUUCUGAAUAAAAUGUCCAGAAUCAGGAUUUUGCUGAUUAUGAAAAUGAAACAGUUACAAUAUUUUACAGUUAGCGAUACGAUUAAUGCUAAUUGCUAAAACUGUCAGAUAUUCAAUUUAAAAGAAUAUAGAAAUAACUUAUUUUAUGAUAUUUCUGAGUAGUUGUUACAAUAUAUAUGCCAUUUCUUUUCACCAUUCUGAUCAUACAUACGUGUCUUCCUCUGCAGAUGUGGGCCUCAUCCUGUAACUCUUUCAACAAUAUUCCUUAUGAGUUACUAUGUUCGGUUAUAAAGGAUCCUGAAUUGACUGUAGACAGGUUAUAAAUUUUUUAUUAUAAUCCCAGUGCAUUUUAUGUAAUGUCCACUUCCACACUAAUUACAGAUUUCUUUAAUCAGUGAGAAGCAUCUUUGUGAAGCCAUUUUAGUUUGGCUUGAUGCGAAUGUAACUCAAUCAGAGGGCUGGAGUGAUGAAGAAGUAAGUCAUGCUGAUGUAUUAAAGCAGGUAUGACCUUAUGAGUGAGAGACUCUAAUACCUGAAGUCACACAUAAGGUUUCUGUUUGCGAGUGGAGGGAGAAGUUGGGGGUUGCGUGCAGUUGGGAAGGAGAAAGAGAAGAUAUAUCUAGUUGUUAUCACCACAUAAAAGUUGUAAACAAGGAUGAAUAUAUCUAAGAUGAUUUAAUUCCGAUGAAUGGGUAUACAGGUUUCAUGUAUCCACUGUAUUCUUCUGUACAGAGCCAUUCUGUCAGAGAUCCUGAAAAUUUGCUGCCAGUUGGUCAACACAUUAUUCAUAAAACACUCAAAUUGGGGUAAGAUGACUGCUGUUAUAGUUUAUGUGGAUGACAUUGUUGUGAUAGGUAAUGAUCUAGAAGAAAUUGAGAAAUUGAAAUUGAAAGAGAGAUUGGCAAAUUUAUACGAGAAAAAAGACUUGGGAAACUUUAUUAUUUCUGGGAAUUGAAGUUGCUCAAUCAAGAGAAGAAUUGUGAUUUUGCAGAAAAACAUAUUGGAUCUCCUCAAAGAAACUCGAAUGUCGGGGUGCAGACCCUUUGACACUCCAGUCGAAGUUGGAGACAAACUUGAUGAACUGAUAGUGUCCCAGUAGAGAAGGGAAGUAUCAACAUAUAGUAGGAAAAUUAAUCUAUUUAUCACAAAUUGGACUUGACAUAGUCUAGCCUUAUGAGUCAGUUAUGCAUAAUUCGAAGGAGAUAACAUGGAAACAUUGAUGAGGGUGCUUAGAUAUUUGAAGCUAACUCCAGGUAAAGGUAUUUUAUUUAACAAAAAAGCAAGAGUAAAAGUUAUUGUACCUUUUGUGGGGGAAAUUUGCUGACCUGGAGUAAAAAUUAGCCUGUUGUUUCUAGCUCUAGUGCAAAGGCUGAAUUCCAGGCUAUGGCACACGAGGUAUGUGAAUUCCUGUGGAUAAUAAUAAUAAUAAUAUUUGAUGACCUCAAAGUGGGCUGGGAAGGUCCAAUAAGACUCUAUGAUAACAAGUCAGCUAUUAGCAACGCUCAAAACCCUGUUCAGCAUUAUCAAUCUAAACACGUUGAAAUCGAUCACCACUUAAUCAAAGAAAAGUUAUACAGUGGUGUGGUUUGUACUUCUUACACAUCUAUUAAAAGACAAUUGGUCGACCUUCUAACAAAAGGACUUACAACUCUACCUUUUCACUCAAUUGCUGCCAAGCGGGGAAUGAAGAACAUCUCAGCUUGAGGAGGGGUGUAGGGAAAUCUAGAAAAUAUCAUGCAUUAUUUGCUGCCCUGAUAUUUUUUUUAUACCUUUUUUAUUUACAGCCUGUAUUCUUGGUAGAUUGUGAUUUAUUCAUAGCUGUAGAUCCCUAAAAUAUCUCUAGGCUAGAAAUAGGAUAUUUCCCUUUUCCAUGUUUUCUUUUUGUGUAAACAACUAUAUAUAUGCCUUGUGAAGUUAAGUCUGGCAUAUGAUUGAAAUAUUAACAUUCUACAAAAUAAUAUGAAGACAAACUACCACUAAUAUUAGAAUAAGCUUUGAUUGGAUUUAGGUUUACAAAUUCUAUCAGAUUGGAAGGAAGUGAGCUAGAAUUAUAGAUUAUAGAUUCUUCAGGAGAUCUUGUUCGUAAAUAAUGAAGAAGUUAGCUCUUGAACUCUAUCUUGCAUUAGAUUAUCAAUGAAGUGAGCUAUGUCAUUGUAUUUCGUAUUUUAAAGCAGGGGGUCAACUUUGAGCCGCACUGGGGGGAGUUACUCUAAGUCGUCAUUCUUAUGAACCUUCUAAUGCCAAGGAGAACAUUACAAGAGAGCAUCAAUUAUUUGUUCUUCAAUGGUUUACAGGAGAUUAGCGUAUAUUUUCAUAUCAUUUGAAACUAAUUAUUGUUGAAAAAGUCUAGUUGCUGGUUGUGCAAACUAAACUUUUUUUUCUUACACUUUAUUUCUUUCUGAAAAUUCUCAAGAUUUUUAAAGAUAUUACUUGCAAUCUAAAUAUGUUACAUUAAAUCAGUAAUGUAAAGAUAUAUGUUACAUUCUGGUAUGGUUGGUUAUGUCUUAGCUUGAUGUUAUCAUACUUUGAAAGCUGAAGUUUCGCAAUAUUUCCUGGCCAUGAAAAGGAAAUUCUGUUUCUCCUGUUAGAACAGUCUACAUCAGAAGUAUGUGCUUUUCAGUUUCCUGAAUUUUGAAUCUUUGUGGUGGCUAUUGGAGCACAUUGAUUUCUGUCCAUAAACCAGCUAUGUAGCAUGAAAAGCAAUCAACUAGAUAAUUGAUGAGUAUCACUAGAAAUGGAUACUAUACCUAUGCCAACAUAAUGACACUGGAGUGAAGGUUGGGUUUCCUUAUUGUUUUUGUUCUCUGAAGGGUGAGAGCGGUGUUGUGUCUAUAGAUAUUUGAUAGUCAUUGCAUGGUACAGCAGUCUAAAAAUUCACUGGAGCACCAUUAAAUAAUUUGUCUUUGGUUGAAACCUUCCAAAUUUCUUUCUUUUUAACAUUUUCAUGGUUUCUUGAACAGAUACGAACAUCACUUUUACCCUUGAAGUUUGUUGCUGGUGUGUUCUCUUCCGAUAUUUAUUUAAAGCCUUUCUGUAAUAAUUUAUUGAUGUGUCCUGUCUAUAACUUUCCAUAGAAACAUUUCUAUGCUGUAGGUAAACGAAAAUCCUGUUUCUUUUCAAAGUUUGCUGAUAAAGGCCUUCGUUCCAUCCCGAGUUUGACGAGACCUCUUUCAACAAUAUCAAAGAACGUAUUCAAAGAUGCAGACUUGAGUCAUCUUAGAAUCCGGCUUACAAAAUAUACUAAGGUUUUCCUUUCCCAUUACUUUAUCCCUGUUUUCUGUAAGCAUCCUGAGUGGAAUCUUGUGUUGUUAUCCUAUUCAAUUUUUGAUUGUGUGGUUCAUUGUAUUCAGAUUUUAUAUACACUUGUUAAUUGAUGUAUAGUUAGUGGUCUAUCUUGUACUUACCUGGGGGCCCUCUGAUGGCACUCCUUAUAUGGAACAGAUAUCAUAUAUGUGGUAGUGAGAUGGGUGACAAAUAAACACGACAUUUGUGGUUUUAUGCAGCGGUUAUUAGACCAGUUGUACUUUAUGGAACUGACUGUUGUGCAACUAAAAGAUAAUUUUCACGAGUAUUAGAGUCUGUUUCCGGAUAAUUAGUUUAUUACCUUGUAUAGGCUAGCUAUCACACAAAAUCGGGAUUAAUUCCCAUUGUAUAUUUUCCUUAUAUAGCUUUGUACCAUCCUAUAAAUUAAAAGGCAAUACACAAUAGAGAGGAUUCAGCAAAAUCUGUCAAUGAGAUGAAUGAAAUACAAAUGAUGAUGUGAGAAGGAUGUGUGGCUAUAUUAGAAUAAAUAAAAAAAGAAAUAAUGGUAUGGUCCAACAAAGGAGGUAGGGCUAAUUGAAAACAAAGUAAAUAAGUAAUGGAAUAACGACUUAGAUGGUUGGGCAUGUUUAUGUUUAGUAUAAGCCUAAAUAAGUCUUCAUUUACAAAAGUAAUUCAGUUUGUGUAGAAUGUGCUAGAAGAGGGAGCCAUAGACCAAAAUUAACUCGGACUAAUAUGAAAGAUUUGAUAUCAUUGAGCCUUAGACCAAAAUUAACUUGAACUAAUAUGAAAGAUUUGAUUUUAUUAGACCUCUUAUAAGAUGCAUUGCUGGAUCAAAUAGUGACAAAAUGAUUCGCGUAUUGACACAAGGUAGUUGGAAAUAAGACCUCUUCUAGCUUCCUGAUGUCCUUUUACUCAUUUCUCUUCUGUAAGCUGCCUUUAUACAAUUCUGGGGACCUUAAUGUUGAUCUCUUCUCGUUGGUGUCUUGGAGAUACUAUGGAGUAAGCUUAUCAAGACCUGUUUUGCAACCGGCUUUAGGAAUAUGCUCAUGCAAGAUUCUUUCUCCCAAAUCAGUGGCAUUUGAAAGCCAAAGGGUUGAUAGAUUCUUGUGGAGUUUUAAAGAGUGGUGUUCAUGUCAUUUAUUUCUUGGAGAUGCUUUUUUCAGGAACGGGUGAUUGAUUUUUGACCUUUCUGAAUUAGAAUAGUUUCCUGAAAUGUUUGCUCUCAUAACAUGAUCUCCCUGUGAUAUGGUUUGGUUAGUGGAUCUUAAUCUUACUAGUCCGUGUUGUCAAUUGUGAGGAACGUAUUCACCAUGGGACAUUCAUGAAUACUUCAAUCUCCUAGUGAUAUUGUUUGAUGGCUGACUCCAAAUGCAUGCAGUGAAGUUAGGCUAGUAUUUUAGUUUCUCACAAAUUUCCUCAAGGUCCACCGUGGAAUUUGUAAUGCACAUGCUUUAUGUUUUACAGGUCAUUUUAGUCCAUGAAGCACAAGGUUAUAUAGCUUAGGUGGUUUGGUCUGCUUAAAACGGGAUUUUAGCCUUGGGAGACAUCAAUUGAACAUGAAUUCUAUCUACUUCCAGUUAUGUUUGUUGUGUUUAAUGCGCUUUUUUGGGGGGGGCGGGGGGGAGGGGUUGAAACUUGCAUUGUUUAGGACAAUGGAUGCCGCUGUAUGAAGUUUUGGAUUAAAUAGUUCGUUUCACUUUAAGAGAGCAGUUAUCUGACUCUAAUUGAAUUUCCUGAACCACUAGAAUAGUGUAGUAACAUGUUCAUAUUUCCAUUACUUGCUAGAAGUUUAUGGACAGAAUGGUGUCAGCUUAAUCAUUUUUUGGGUGUUUGCUAUUGAUUUGAAGGAAAUUUGGUUAAAGACGCUUGUUUAAGAAAGUACGUCUUUGUUGUACUCACAAAUUAGCCUGGAACUUAGCAUUCAUAAGUUACACUGAUAAUUAAAAGAGAGAAAUACUCACUGAUGCAUUUGAUGUGUGCAUUUUUCAUGUAAUGCACAAAUUGAUCACAAGUGUUAAAAAUUUAAUGUAAAUGCAUAGAGCCAGCACAUUCAAGUAGUCUUGCAGUGCUAAAUUAGAUAAAAAAUAUCCGUAUUGAUUUUCUGAAAUUUUACUUUUUGAAGCACGUGCUUCUAAACUAUUCUUCCCCAUUAAUUUGUGCAGAGAGUGGAUCUUUCCAGCUGCCCACAGUUCACACCAUCACUUGUUCUCCUGUCGAUGCUUCCUUUUUCAUGCUAUGCAGGUCACAUGCUAGAAAAGAGCAUUAAGGAAUCUUUAAUUAACCGUGUGCGUCUAAAAGAGGACGCCUUUCACGUAUCACAAGCAUUGGGGCUAAUGUUGACUUUUAUUGAAGUAGAAGAGGUGGAUAUUUCAAAUUGUCCAAUGCUACAUCUUGAGGCUGCCAUUGAGUGCUUCUGCAAGUUCCCAUCAUUAAGAAAAUUAAAGGCAGCUUACUCUUUAGACUUCAAAACAAAGAUGAUGUGUCAAUUGGUACAAAAGUGCCCACUACUCUCUGACAUUGACCUAACUGUGGAUGUUACUCCUGUUAUACCUGGACGCGUGUCAAUUGUAUCUUCCUGGCCGGCCUUGCCACAAAGAUCUACAACAUAUUUCAACCUUGAUAAUUGUUAUUCUGCUGCCUCUUUUUCAUAUAUGUCGAGGCCAUUCCUCUCAAAUAUCACGAAACUCACGUUGGAAGGCCGAACCGACAUCAGAGGUAACUCUUUUUUUGAGGGGGGGGGGGGGGGGACAGGGAGAGAGAGAGAGAGAGAGAGAGAGAGAGUGUGUGUUCCCUCCACACUGCAGUCCCACCCCAAAGAACAAUGAACCAUGAUGCAUAUUUGUAUGUAUACAUAUAGGUGUAUCCUAGUCUCCUUUGCAUCCGAUGUCAUUAUUUUCACCUUUUUGGAAAUUCUUUUGGUUGCUUAAAAAUUAAGACAUUCAAUUUCAAUACAUAAAAGAAUUGGAUCUUAAGAGAUUCUCAUGCAAAGGGUGCCAGCUAGGAUUAUUUUGCUUUGAUCAAGAGUGUGUGUACCUACUACCCACCAUUCAUUGAACAUUAACUAGGUAGAUGGUCGUAGAUGUGGCUUGCUGCAUAUUUUUAGGUUGGAAAUCAUCUGUUACCGAACUGUUGAUGUAAGGGAAGAAGUCUGUUUGCUGUUUUCUUUCAUCUAUGCACUUCAAUGUGUAGCAUGUCCUCCACAGGUGUAAAUCAACAAAAUGAAAGAGAAAAAUGCAUAGACAAUAUAACAAGGAUGCGUCUUGUAAGUUCUUUCAGAAUAUCAAACAUAGGAGAUUGCAUUGCUAAAAAGCUCGUUUUCAAAUAGCAAAGAUAACUAAUGCUACUAUGGCAAUUGUAGUUGUGGAAAAAAGAAGCAAGUGGUGUUAUGGAAAUAUGUUAAUAUACGAAAGGUCAUACAGAAUUUUAACAUGGUAAAGAUUGGGCCUUCUUUGAUUAUAUAAGCUAAAACAAUAUUUAAAAAAUGUUUUGAGGCUGCACCUGGAGUCCUGCCUAACAUGAGGCUCUCUUUAAAAGCAUCAAAGCUCAUGCCUUGACUUAGUGAGGCUUACGCCUUAAGAAAAGCACCAUGCAACUUCAUAGUUGAAAACCUUUCAGAUGGCAGGAUCAAAGCCAAUCUUACAAGCAUACCAAUGGACAUAUAAUCCCUUUGCUGCUAACUUCCAAGCUAAUUCCACUAAUUCCUUUCGUUUCGAAAAACUCCUCAUCCAACAAAAGCAAAUUUAGUUCUCAAAUUGAUUAUCAAGUGCUAAGAGAUCCACUAUAGAACAGGCUGACGGAUAAAACUUAACCAAAUAAAACUGUUCGUCGAAAGAGUAAAAUCAAUUGUUUGGACUUGAGUAAGCUACAAAAAUAAGUAACUCCAUAUUCACCAUUGUAAAAUGAUUAUCAAGUUCUUGAAGUUGCAUCUCCACAAUCUGUUGAAUGUUUCUACAGGAUAACGGUUUAAAUUUUUGGUUUGUGCUAUAUAUCGUGCCUUAGGCUUUAAAGAUAUGAUCCAUGUUGGGAAUAGGAUGCUCUAUUUCUUCUUAUUAUCUGCAAUCUUUAUUGGCAUAUUUUAAGUAAUAGCAUUUAUGUAUCUUGAUCUUUUGCUAGCAAGAGCUUUUACAACUCAUUAUUACGCCUUAUUUUUAUCAGUAUAUGGGGGCUUCUAUGCGUUUCUUUUAAUUGGCCGGCCUUGUAAAAUUGAACUAUUUUUUGUUGGUUCAACAGAUUCUGAUCUCCAUGACAUCUCAGAGUUCUGUGCUUCCUUGUGCUACCUUAACCUUAACGGGUGUACUUCAUUGACGGACAAUGGUUUAUCAGUAAUAAUUCUGAAAUGUAAAAAACUACACUCAGUUUUGGUGUGUGAUACUUCUUUUGGGAAUAAUUCAAUUCUGGCACUUUGCUAUGGGAUUUCUGUUGCGGAAUCCAAAAGAGGAAACUACUCUCACACGACGGCUUCGAAGUGUCAAACCCUGCAUAUUGGUGGCUGCAAUGGUGAGCAACAUUUCCUUUGUCCACUCUCACCCUCUUUUAUUUUCAGUAUUCCAGGAAAGUAAAGAGAAAUUCAAUUUUCAAAAGUUUUUUAUGUCAGUAUGUGUCAGAAGUUUUUCUGAUGGAAAUGUGUUUUUUUUAUAAAGUCUUUCAUAAUAUCAGAGUGAGCAUGAUUUUAUAUUUGGUUCACUUGAGUAUUUUUGAGACUUUUUCCUCAUUUGAGUAUAAUCUCAAUUGAUGUGUCUGCCAGUAUCUUUGAUGGUAUACACAAUCAAAUAUGUAUAGCUAACAGCUGGAAUACAUUAUAGUACACACGCAUCAAAUAUGUUUAACUUAAUCUUGUGAAUGUCAUAUAUACAAUUUAUUCUCAACACUAUCCACUUCUUCCCUUCUUUGGCAGGGAUAAAUGAAACAGCUUUGUCAGAGCUUCUCUCUGGAGCAAAUAAUUUGACGAGUCUGUGUUUGCGGGAGAUUCAACUUGAUGACAAUGCUCUUUAUUGUUUUUCAGGAUCCUCCUUGGAGAUGCUUGAUAUUUCUGAUACAAAGGUGCAGAGGCAGUCUAAAGGGAAAUUUUGUUUGUUUCUAGAAAGGAUUCCUCUAAAACCAUUCACUUUUUAUCAUGGAAUUCAUAUAAAUCACUUUACCUAAGAUCUCUUAUGAAUGCGGCAACUGGAAACUUGAACUGAACAUUGCAUAUAGAGUUUGAACUUCUGUUUUCACAACCUGCUUUCACCCGUCAAACCUAAGUCUGAAUAUCUGAAAAUCUUUAAAGCUUUUUGGGCUAGGCUAACUGAAAAACUGGGCUGCUAGAUCUUGUUUUUUGGAAGUUGACAGUUAACCUUUCAAAAGAUAUGUAUAUUUGUCAGAUACAUAAUUUUUCUGCAUGAGUUGCAAGAACUUCACGGUGGUUCAUUAGUUUCAUAUCAAUACCCAUCUGGAAUUGCAUGCAUCUGUCAAUUUCUUGAUGCCAUCUCUUUUAAGAGAGUACCCGUGUGUAAAUUGAGUCCUGAACUCGAGACUCGAAGCUUCGUGGGUUAGACUAUUUUUAUUUCCCACUUGCACGGUCUUGCAAGGAUAAGUUACGAAGGUUGUGCACUUGGCUUAAUCCCCAUGUUCAGGAAUUAGUUAUUAGCAAUGCAUGACAGACCUCUAUUAUACUUCGAUUGGGAUGUGAUAGCACGACGGAUGCAUAUGCUUGGUGGUGUCUUGCUCUAUUUCUUCAUCAAGUUUAAAAGAAAGAAUAUUUGUCUUUACUGUUUACUUUUGUCUUGUUAGAACCAAUCUUGAGUUGUACUGAAUAAAUAAAAUGUAUCAAGCUAACCCAUAAAUAAUGUGCUUGUGAUAUUUCAGGUUUCUGCUGCUGCUUUGGCUCAUGUGAUUUAUAGAAAUCCCGAUCUAAAAUGUUUGAAAGCAAGAGGCUGUAGGCAUUUGCUAGUAAAGGAAAGUAAGACGGAAGAGAGAAACUUGCCUGCUUUAUUGCGUACUCCAAAAGAGUGGUACUCUGAGCUUGGCAAGUCCUGCAAAUUGGACGAGAUUCAACUUGGAUGGGGUUUUUCAUCUCUUUAUAUGGAAGCACUUAAACCGGCAUUUAGAACAUUAAGAACGGUAGUUGUUGGUUUAGGUGGAUCCUUGGGCCAAGAUGGGCUGAAGCAGUUAUCAGAUAUCUGUCCUUUGAUUGAGACCAUGGUUCUAUAUUUUCAGGUAAUGAUUGUUUAGGAGAUAUAAUUAAUGUCAUCCGUAGCAAAUUAUCCGAUCAUCAUAAUUGAUGAGUGUUGAUUGCAAGCUUUGCAUAAAAUGUUCAAGAUUUAGGUUGUAUAUUUUCUCUUGACCAGCAAGAGUGAGACAACAGUGGAACUAAAACGGUAUAAGAAUAGAAAUAUUAUACUCAUAGGAACUAGGUCUUGGCAUUUUCUAGUUUGCUCAUUGGUACUCUCUCUCUCUCUCUCAUAAUUCUUUUAUCUCCCAGCAGCAAAAGGCAACUAUCAUUGAACAUCACUUAUCAGUUAAAACCUCUCACGUGAACCAUAUGUUUCUGAUGAAGUUGGAAGCUUUGGUGAUCUCCUGAUCACUAGAGUACAAUUUAUGGAGCUUUUUCGGUGAUCGUUUUUAGUUAUAUGAUAUACUAACUGAUGCUUGAAGCCAUGCACUAAUACAUUGUCUGAUGUUAACAGGUGAUAACUGAUUCUACUAUAAUGCAUGUUAUGAAAACCUUGUUGCAGUUGCAAGUCUUGGCUCUAUCCUAUUGCAUUGGUGAGAUUUCAUCAUUAAGCUUUAAGUUCUUGAUGCCGAAUCUGAAGAACCUGAAACUUGAAAGAGUAACACCAUGGAUGUCAAAUGAAGAUUUGGUUAAUCUGACACAGAAUUGCCCCAAGUUAGUCAAGCUUUCAUUGACAGGGUGCACAAUGCUUAAUUCAGGCGAGUAAUUUCUACCUGAUAACCAGUCUGUAGAAAUUUCAAUGACACUAAAUGCAAUUUUCAUGCAGUGUGACUCUAAUAAGAAUUCUUAUGCUCUGAGUUUCAUAAGCUGCUGUAUAAUCGAGAAUUAAUACUCGUAUAUCAUUUUUUAUUAUAUACAUGCAUCCUUUUGUCUGGGGAUGACUGAGUGAAGUGAUUUGAAUACUGGCUAAAAUAAUAAUAAAAACUUUUCCUUUCCCUUGUUAUGUUCUUUUCAGAAUCCCAAGAUAUUAUUUCAAGUGGUUGGCCAGGGUUGAUAUCCAUUCAUCUUGAGGUUUGCUGUCACCAUUUUCUCUUGGGAUGCCUUUUUAUUAUUUUUUUAAAAAGAUAUGUAGAUCUUACAUUUGCUACCAACUUUGCAAGAGGAGGAUAAAGACUGAAAUACUAUUAUCUGAUAGUAAAUUUGCUAUUACUUUUUUUGUUUUUGCAUACACCUAAGCAGAUGACCUAAACAAUAUUAACAGUUUUGUGUAACCCAAUUCCUGACUAAGGGCAGAUUUUCGACCCCUUUUUUUUUUUCCCUUAUUUUUGCAACCUCUUGCUACAUCUCUAAAAUUUUCUUCUAUACCUGUGAUUCACCCAAUUUUAUUGAGUGUAGAGGAUGGACAAAGUAGCAAUUAAAAAUUAAAACUUGUCUAAACUUGAGGGGCAUGUUGAAGACAACAUUAAAUGAUAUAAAUUGUGUCCUUAUCUAAUAGCUUAAGCAUUUAGAUCAAGCCGUUUAACAUGGUGUCACAUCAAGCAAAGGUCAGUCAAGUCUCGGCUCUGUCCAUUUAAAUGAAUUGUCCACAUGUUAAGUUUUGAUGGACGUGUUGUCGAUGGUAUUUGAAUGAUAUAAAUAUGCCCUAUCUAACAAUUUAAGCUAUUAGAUCAAGUGGUUCAACAAUAAUGAUUGCUGCUGUUAUUUUCCAAUUAGAUUCACCACCUUUCAUAAAGAGAAGUUUUCUAACCUCUUUCAAAAUUCCAAAAUGUGAAAGAAGAACUGUUUUAUAAGUUCAAAAUCAACAAAGAAUUUAAAGUUUUCUGAACAUGCAUGUGAGGGUCUUCAAUUACAAGAGAAGUUCACAGGGAGAGGUGGUCCAUAAUUUGAUCAAGAACGAACCAUUUUUGAUAUGUGCCAGUCCUCUUGCUAGUGAGCACUCAUGUACCAUUAAAGAUUAAGAAGCAAAAUGGAUCAAAGGAAAGAGGAGGUAACAAAGUUAAAAUCAUGAAGUUGGUAAGAAGCAAAAGGGAAGAAAUUACUGCCUGAAGUUGGCCUUGGGCCUUCUUUGAAUCUGAAUUAUAUAAUUCUUUUUUCAUUUAGGGAAUAGAAUCCUUCCUUGAAAGUCAUUUUGAGUUCCCCCAAAGGAUUUCUCCAGUUGUCAAUUACUAUAACUUGCACAAACAGCAAACAGGCAUUCUCUUUGUUGGCCACUAUAUACAUCUACAGGGUACUUUAUCCCCUGAAGUUGGCAUUUGGUAUGCAAGAGCAUAUGCACAGUAUAGGAAUGGACUUGUGAAAUGAAUGAAGAUGGGAAUGAAAUGCAAUAGACAUGGGAUAUCUCAUGUUUGGUUUGUCUAGGAAUAAGAACAGCAAUGGGAUCAGGUUCCACAUUUUUGAUUUCUUAUAUUUGGUCUGUUAUGAAGCAUGGUAAUGAAAUACAGAUUGUGAAAUGGCUAUGCAUACCUUACUGAAAUUUUAUAUUUUAAGCAUUAAUUCAUGUAAUUGGGAAAAUAAUGUCACAUGUCAGAAUUUGAAAACACGUUGCAUUCCAGAUUAUCUAGAUGCUUACGCUGGAUGGAAUGCCAUGAGCCUACUCGAUAUCUUCCUUGCCUGCUUCACUAGAGGGGGAAAAAAUAGGGAGAGGAAGAUAAAUAUUUUUGAAUCUUUCUUCUGUCAAUGGUUGAACCUUCUUGCCCAUGCUUCUACAAGAAGAAGAAGAGAAGCCUAAUCAGACACUAAACUACAGUUACCUUACUGAAGACUCAAAAGAAAAAAUUGAAGAUUAGAUUUUUGAGACAUCUGAAGAUCAAAUUUGCAGAUUCAAUGCUUAAUUCCAUGGUUCUUGAGUUCAUGCUCUCUCAUAUUUUAAUAAUAUCUUCUUGGUGGUUAUUUUACAUGUUCUUUCUAUUGAGAAUGUUUAUACGAGUGUAGUUCAUCUUCUAAGUUGCUUUCUCACUAUCAUAAAUUCAAUGUCUUUUAUGGAAUUUACACCAACAUUAAGGAGGAGGAGCCAAAUCGAUAGAAAUUAAAACCUGAAAUUGGGAAGAGAUGCAAAAGUUUGGCGGUGUUGAAAUUUGUUAAAAAACGGGGGUUCCAUUUUUGUGAAAGAGACCAUAAUUAUAAACCCCACCAAAAUGAGAGCAGUAUCUACGAUAUAGGAUGAAGUGAAUAUAAAUAUUAUUUCAUUCAUUUGAUUGAUGUAUUUCAUCAUCAGUUCUUAUCCUUUUCGGUAUCUUUGUAACAGCGCAUGUUAUUUGUUGUUUAGGACUGUGGAGAAGUAACAACCAAUGACGUUGUAUCUCUUCUGGACUGUCAUGCCCUUGAAGAUCUUAUGCUACGUCACACUGUGAGUCUUCAACACUGGUUUUUUCUCAUGUGGUGUGGCUUGUUUUAACUUUUGGAGGCUAGAUAAUUAACUUAAUUCUAAUUAGGGGUGGUUGCAAUCUGAUCCUAUUAUCCUUCAUUAUAGUUACCAACUGGUUCUCUGCAAAAGAUGAUGAAUUUGAACUUUCCCGUUUUUGCCUCCUUCGGUUUCUUUUUCUUUUUCCUUCAAACAAAAUGAAUAAUUGGACAGCAAAUGUACGACCCGAAGAAAUUACAAGACAAAAUACUUCAUGUUUCCUGUUUCCUGUCCUCCUAGUAUUAUGUGGCAUAUAUUAGGGAUGAACUUUUUGGUUGGUAUAACCUGAGAUCUCAAUCUAGGUAGCAUUCCUUUGACAAGGUACAUAAUGUUUGGAUUUAUAUAUUAGGCAAUCUUUAGUAUCGCAUAAUAGAUGAUAUAUAAGCACAAGAUUGUGAUGAAGACUACCAAUUGCUUGGACUUCGAUUCAGAGUAUGACAGAGAUAAUACAAAAUAUCCCUUUCUUUUCCUCUUCAACCCCUUAACUCCAACCCUAUCACACCCACAACACAGACAUCAAACUGCAAGGUAUAUACAUUAUACUAGUCCUAAUAAUAUAUCGGCACCUAAAAACACUGAACUGUUUUCAAUUUUGUGAAGUUCCAUUCAAUUAUUAUGAUCUCACUAGACAUUUCAUCAAACACUAAUUUCGAAUUCUUGGUCUACCUACAAAAUUCGAAGCUUUAUUUUUGUGAACUAGCAACUUGCUGAUUCUGGAGUGAAUUGUGCUUUAAAUAUUUAGGGCCCUGGAAUUACGAGAAAUUUCAUCAUUUAUGCUGCUUACAAGGUAAUUAUGGCUGCUCACAUGGAAUUACCGUAUUUGGACAUUGUUUUUUCUCAAAUUGUUUGAAGUUCCCCGUUUUAUUGUGUAUUUUUGGUGCCUGCAGUUACCAAUGCUUCGAAAAAUAUCACUUGAUAGAUGUGAUGCAAGGGAUGGAGACUUUGACAUUCCAAAUGUAAGAAAUCUUCUUGGCAUAUUAUAAUUUCACCCAUUACCAUUAUGUAGAUGCAAAGUGUUUGACAAACCUGUGAAACUUCACGUGAAAGGCGUUAUCAUUUCAUGGUGCAGUCAUUAUGUAUUUCAUUAUUUCCUUAAUAUAAUCCGGGGGUUUUUGAAGCUUAUAUUCUUGUAUCUUGUGGUUUGGGUAGAAUUGGAUUAGGAUAAAAAGUGAUUAGUUCUACGGUUAAUUAGGCUUUUUAGUAUUGCUAGUCUACAGAAGAAAUAUUAAUCCAUGUUGGACAACUAGAAUUGUUUUCAUUAAGCAACAAAAAUAACAUCACUAAUUGCAUUAACGUGUAAACUUCUUGUUUAUCCAGGUAUUUAUAGUGAAUGUUAUCUUACUGAUAUUACGGACCUGCUCCAGUGUGAUGACAGGUACUUCUUAAGUAGUGUGAAGAUUGCUAGAUGUAAGCUUCGACCCUGCACCUUUGACCUUCAUAAUCCGGAGGGCCGGAGAACCCCCGUGCAUAAAGAAACUUUAAUAUUGGAGUGGAACAGUGAAAAGCUCACAAGAAUUGUGGUGAAGGAAAGACUUUAAUUUCCACGCUUGAAAUCAGAUAUAACAUCUAUGGAAACACUGUGAAGCAUAUGGAAUGCACAAUGUGUUACUGUACAUUAUUUCGACUCCUGCACUCUAAAAGCAUGUUGGAUAUCACUUGGUCUGUAAUAGAUAAUGUUAAUUUAGGUCUUAUAGUAACAUGAAACUAUGUCAUGUUCAGUAAAUUUGAAAAAAAGAGUUAAAAAUUGUUUGUUUUUGAAUAACAUUAUGAUUUUUUUUACAAGGUGCUUUUACUUUGGUG
rnacentral:lncRNA from 1 species